GGGCUGCGGGCGGAAGGGGACGGGGGCGGUGGUGCGGCUCGCCUCAGGGCGGCGGGAAGAGCCGCCCCCGGCGCGGCGGGGCCGCAGGUAAAUAAAUAGCGACGCGGGUGUUACUCGUAGCUCUCAGCCCCGAGCCCGCCUUCUUCCUUAGUUCUGUUUUCCAGUUCUGGUGUUGCCUUUUUUCUCCUCAGGGAUUGCUUCCCCUCGUUGCCCCGACCUGUAGUUCAAGCUGUGGAAGCUGCGUACCAAGACGGGCACCCAGCUUACCAGAAAGUACCGUGUUUAAUGCUGGAAACUUGACAGCCUGGCCUGUGUGUGAGGGCCAGGACACGCUGCCCCCUGCCUGUGGCUGCAGGACUGCUGAAUCCCUCUGGGAUAGGUGUUUUCCCAUCUGGAUGAAAAAGUCCCCUCCUUUCGCAAUAAAUCCUAUCUUGCUAGGCAAAGUAGUUUUAAAACAUCACUGCUGAUAAACGAGGGCUGUUUGAAGUCUUGCCUUGUUUGUUAUGUGUUUGCAUGCUAGAUAGUGUAAUGGGUUUCUGAUUCAUGGCUGAGGCCCGAGUGCUGCUGCAAUAUCACCAUAAAUAAAACAUGGAGCUGGAUGAAGUCUGAGCUUCCUUGCUUGCUUCCUGCUUUAAACUCUCAAGGUCACCUGGAAGGCAGCAGCACACUUCCCCCUGCUAUUUCCCUGCCUGCUGUUUCCUGAUUCUGAGGCCAUCUUGGUCACAAACUAGGAAACUUGAAGAUACAAGAUACUUAUGUUAGAUACAGCUUCAGUGUCUUAAAUGUGUGUGACAUAGGUGAUGAUAUUUACCCAUUUCUCUAAAAUUUUUACAGAAUCUCAGUGGAGAAGGAUGGUUCAAAACACUGGAGCUGGAUGAUCCUGAGGUUUUGAGCAGAAAAUGCUUGAAAACACUGAAAAUAAUGGUCUCGUCUCCUCAGGAGCAAGCAAAGGCAUUAAGCCAUAGUUUCACAAAUGAGUGAAGAGGACUGCCUGAUGCGCCUGAGAUCACAAAAGUGCAAGAACUGGCAGCAGUGACAGAAACUGAGUUUCCCACCUCUCGAAUCUAGAAAUAAUACAGUAAAAUGGAAUGUGUAAUGGAUGUGUAAGAGCAUUUUGGAGAACUGCCUGUGAUGUAACAGCUGGCUGAGCCAUACCCACUGCUUCCAGUGCACCUCUGACUGUAGCCCUGGCAAUUCCAUCCUAUCAACCCCGAGUGCUCCCUCUGUAGAUCUGUGUGAGGGCUGGAUCUUGCAGCCUGGAUCUCCUCUGUUCGGCAGGGGCCAUAACUGCCUGUGUCUAAUGUCUGUAGUGUGACCUGUUUAUACUUAAGGACAUUUUCUCAUUAAACACAAGUAGCUGCAAGUUUCUCCUUAACAAGAAUAUUCAAUUUAAAUACAAGUAAACAGGAGCAAAGCAGGCUGAUUUUAGAGCUAGUCAGCCCACACAUUGAUUUAAUCAGGAAUCAGUUCAUGCACAGAGGCAACCUUAGGUUGCCAACAACUUGUAGUGCAGUCACAGCAAAUCUGCAUAGUCCAAACACUUUGAAGACUUGCACACAGGUGUAAAUAGGAUAAGCACUGAAAGGUUUGUGGAAGAUAGAGCAACACAGGGAAAUUGUAAAGGAGCAAGUUUCAAGCAAGAAACUACUUUUCCUGCAGCACUGGUACCCCUUCAAGAAUCAGCCUUAAGAGGAGACAAAAAGGCUGCAGAGACUUACAAUUCCAGCAUUAAUUCAUUCCUGCCCAUGGGAAUGAAGUAAAUGCAACAGGGGUAUGUAACACACUCAGUGUCACAUGUAUCUGCUCUCCUGAGGAUCCCAGAUGCCAUUAUAAGCCAUUCAGAAGAGGGCCACCUUAUGGGCAUGAAUAACCCAGCAUGAUCUUAAAGAGGAAGUCUCCAGCAAGAUGUAUUAACGUGUGGAUAAGAUUAAAAUUUGUGAUUUUUGAAGUCAACAGUGAAGGCUGACGGACACAAUAACUGGCUAGCUGCAGGCAGGAAGCAAGCACUAUCAAUCUCAUCAUAUGAGUGCUGGCAUCUCGGAGAGCUGUGAAGUAACUCCACCAGUUGGGCUGGAUCCCUGUUCUAAUCACCCAUCCAUAACCAAAGACAAGAUGUUUUUUUUGCUGGGAAUUAUUGGAGAGCCUAUGAAUCUGCUAGGCAACAGUAAUUAAUUGGAGACACUUGAAACUGAGGAAUCCCUGGUGUGAG